CAGAAAAAGAGUGCUGACAUUGCAUUCAGGAUUUAGUCAGUGCACAGAAAUGUAAUCCACACCUUUUUUGUUCGGACGUUCCGACUGGACGUGAACAGAUUCAUUCAAUGAAGCAAAUUCUGUGGGAAAAAAUGUUGUCUUGCUGGAAAUGACAUAAUAAUGAUCACGUUAGUUGAAAACCUUGAAUGUGGGCACAUUUUACUCACACUCGCUGAAAAGGUAUUUUUAAAGUCAUCAGACUAAAGUCCAAGUGAUUGUAAUUCUUUGAUCAUAUUGUCAAGUCGAAUCCAAAGUCAUCGAAAUUUUUGAUUCAUUUAUUUACUCAUUUAUUCAUACACAGAGUUGAACAAAGACCUUACUUUCUCUGCUGUCCACACAAGAAGAAACCCUGAAAUCCACCCGAGUAUGACACGUACACCUCAGACAAGUGCAACAACAUUUCAAAUAGUACUUUACGUACCCUCCUCAGUCACAGUGUGACUUUCGGCAGGUCAAAAUGCAAGUUGAACGCUGCCGUAGGCCGAGCUUGAAGGUUUUCAGAAGAGUCCUUGCAAUCAGUACUUCCUGCACUAGUCCGAUGGGCGGCCUGCAGAGCAGCUGAGCCGCGUACCGCCACUGGCUGCUGUAGAGGGAGAUGAAGGAAACACCACAGUCAACGGAAGCGGUAGCCUGACGACCACGCUAAAGGCUAGACCGUGACUCCAAUUCCAUGUGUUCUGCUAUUGACCGUUUGUCAUCAUCAUUCAUUAGUGAUUUCACAGGUGGUCUGAGGGUGACGGUGGCUGCCAUCAACCUGCAGACUCAGACUAUGUUCAUCUUUUGUACGUUGUGAUGUUACAUUGACUGUGUCAUUCACUAGAACAUCAACUUUGUAAAUGUGCACGUGGUAAAACUACUCAAGUAAACUAGUUGUAAUUUAAGCUUAAUUUAAGUUGUAUUGUAAGCUUGAGUAACUCACACAGC